AUUGAACGCUGGCGGCAUGCCUUACACAUGCAAGUCGAACGGCAGCACGGGAGCAAUCCUGGUGGCGAGUGGCGAACGGGUGAGUAAUAUAUCGGAACGUGCCCAGUCGUGGGGGAUAACGCAGCGAAAGCUGUGCUAAUACCGCAUACGAUCUAAGGAUGAAAGCGGGGGAUCGCGAGACCUCGCGCGAUUGGAGCGGCCGAUAUCAGAUUAGCUAGUUGGUGGGGUAAAGGCCCACCAAGGCGACGAUCUGUAGCUGGUCUGAGAGGACGACCAGCCACACUGGAACGGAGACACGGUCCAGACUCCUACGGGAGGCAGCAGUGGGGAAUUUUGGACAAUGGGCGCAAGCCUGAUCCAGCAAUGCCGCGUGCAGGAUGAAGGCCUUCGGGUUGUAAACUGCUUUUGUACGAAACGAAACGGCCCUUUCUAAUACAGGGGGCUAAUGACGGUACCGUAAGAAUAAGCACCGGCUAACUACGUGCCAGCAGCCGCAGUAA
rnacentral:rRNA from 1 species